GUUAAUCUCUGGCAGUGAUACCUAUGCUGAUGAGUAAUUUCCCAAAUUUCAAAUCCCUUCAUAGAAGGAUAUUUCUCAACUGAAACGCCAGGAAGCAGGACUUAAGUUAGACUUAAGAGCUGGCUGAUGGGAAGGUUUAUUAAAUACUGAAACCCAGGAGAUGGCAACGUCUUUACUGAAGGUCUUUAAUAACGGUUUAGGUGUUGUCUUGCCUGAAGGCAGUGAGGAUAUUUAUAAUGUGUUGAAUUUGCAUAUGAUGGAUUUCAGGAGAUCUUUGAGAGAAAGUCCUUAAGAUACUCUUUGGUAAAAAUAGGAAACGUGUGGACCUAAAGUAGUGAAGCUCUGUGUGCCAUCUCUUUCAAUAGCUGGUCAUAAUUAAGAGAUGAGCUACUCCACAGCUCUUGUGGCUUAAAGAAACUGUGAGGGGGAAAAAAAAAGUCCAUUUUAGACCUUUCUAUGAGCUUUUGCACUAUGAAGUAUUAAAUCUACAGUUGAGAAAUAGAGAAAAUCAUAAAUUUUUCAAGGUCUCCACUCUAUAGUAAGUCUUGGUUAUGAAGUUCAUCCUAGCUUAAUGUUAACCCAGGGAAUCCCAGGCUGAUAAAUGUUUUCUUAAUCUUUGCAGAGAUUCGAACUUCUGGCUUGUGGAAAAGUUGAGGUCUGCACAAGAAGAAUACAGUCUCAAGCUUUUCCCCUAUAUUGGAAAGAAUGUGAUUGACUAGGUAGGACUGUCAGGCCAACAGCAAGAAGCAAGCUCCACCUCAGAUCAUCAGGCAUUAGAUUCUGGAAGCUGCAAAGCCCUGCUAAAGGGAUCAUGGCGAUGCAUCACCGUCCUCUGUUGGAAAAUCACUGUUUCCAAAAGUCACUUAAGGUCAAAAAGUUGAGUAUUGGCACCUUCAUCUGGUUCAAAGAGAGCCACCUUCAUCUAAAAAAAUGCAUUUCAAAUUGUCACCUAAAAAUAGAAAUAUUGGGCUUGUGUAUAUCCUGCUGUGAGCCAUUGGCCUGA
rnacentral:lncRNA from 1 species